rnacentral:misc_RNA from 1 species
GAUGAAGAACGCAGCGAAAUGCGAUAAUUAAUGUGAAUUGCAGAAUUCAGUGAAUCAUCGAGUCUUUGAACGCACAUUGCGCCCCCUGGUAUUCCGGGGGGCAUGCCUGUCCGAGCGUCAUUGCUGCCCUCAAGCCCGGCUUGUGUGUUGGGCCUCGUCCCCCCUCCGGGGGACGGGCCCGAAAGGCAGCGGCGGCACCGUGUCCGGUCCUCGAGCGUAUGGGGCUUUGUCACCCGCUCAGUAGGCCCGGCCGGCGCCUUAGCCGACGACACAAUCUUUUUUUUCAGGUUGACCUCGGAUCAGGUAGGGAUACCCGCUGAACUUAAGCAUAUCAAUAAGCGGAGGA